rnacentral:miRNA from 1 species
GCGUGCGUGUGAGUCUGUGUGUGUGUGUGUGUGAAUCCCUUGGGCUAUUCAACACACACGCACACACACACACACACACACAC